rnacentral:rRNA from 1 species
UACGAAGGGUGCAAGCGUUAAUCGGAAUUACUGGGCGUAAAGCGCGCGUAGGUGGUUUAGUAAGUUGGAAGUGAAAUCCCCGGGCUCAACCUGGGAACUGCUUUCAAAACUGGUGAGCUAGAGUACGGUAGAGGGUGGUGGAAUUUCCUGUGUAGCGGUGAAAUGCGUAGAUAUAGGAAGGAACACCAGUGGCGAAGGCGACCACCUGGACUGAUACUGACACUGAGGUGCGAAAGCGUGGGGAGCAAACAGG